rnacentral:sRNA from 1 species
UAAUAUGUAAGUACCAAUUCCUCCUCUCUGUUCUUUGGCCAAAAAAAAAUGAUAACCUUAUCAUAGUUUUGAUCCUCUUUUUACCGCCAUAACGUUUUUGAGGCAUCUGGUAGAAGAGUUGAGAAUGUUCAGUUGUUUACAAGAACGGAAAUGGUAUGAGAACAAGAACAUUUCUUCCGCUAUAGCUAUGUUGAGUUUUCUUCUUAAGAAGAAGCACAAAAGGUUCGAGUAGCAUUUGCUUAUGUUACUUAUAUAAUUGUCUUUAGGCCAUGGAACUUUAAGGAUAAAACUUGGGCGGUUAAAAAAUCCGCCUAGAUGCAAUUACUGAUAUAGGAGAGGGACAAGGUAGUUCGAAUAGUCUAGUUGGUUCCAAAUUUAGUUUUGAUCGGCUAUGUAGCCGGUAGAUGAAGUUACAUAACGACAACAACAAGCUCAAGGAGGCAUUGCUCAUCAACAUUAAUGGUAUUGCAGCUGAAAUGAGGAACACUAGUUAAGUCACAAUCAAAAUACACUUUGCUCUGUUUUUAACAGAAAACUUAUGCAUAUGACUUGUUUUUGUUUUUUCAUCUUUUUAUGAUUUCAUCUAUCCGCAUCUUUGCCUCUAUUUCGAUUAUGUACUUCAAAGUUCAAACCGCUGGAUCUUAACUAGCAUAGUGCAAUAUAAUCA